rnacentral:lncRNA from 1 species
GGUGCAUAGAUCGCUUUUCUUAGAAUAAAUGAGUCUCGAGUCUAUACUGUAGGGAUACUAGAGUGAGAGUGUGGAUAUUUGUUAGAUAACAAAGAUAUCGAGCAUGACUAACAUGAGAAGUCACUUGGAUAUCUACUCACUCAUCAGUGACUUUCUCGAUGCUGUAGUAGUGUGAGUGAUUCUUUGAUCUGCAGUAUCUCAACUGUUUAUAAUGAGAUUGCUGUAGUUUGACUAUACAUAACUCAAUCUCUUAGCCAUAUGAAGUCUUGAGGUGUAUGUUGACUGCAAUAAAUUUUUUGUAGGAAUAAGAUGUGCAUCUAAAUAGAAUCUAUCAACUUUAGUAGAAAAGGAG